rnacentral:lncRNA from 1 species
UCCACACUGAAGAGGUGCCAGGAAUUCAAGGAGAGUGGAGGCUGGUGCUGAAAAGCUUCCCCCAGUGAUUCUGAUAUGCUCAGAGGGGGUGAUGGUGGUGGUCUUGGGCAGGCUUCCCAUUGUGUCAGGCCCAUGGUCACUAAUUCUUGUCCAGACCUGCAGAGCCAGAAUAGCCCAGCCCACAGAGCAGAAGCCACAGUGUAAGAAGCCCGACCUGGGCCAGAAAGCCUGACGAUGUCAGAAAAAAAUCCCCAUCAGUGUGAUGCCAUGGAAACCCUAGACAGCAGGCAGAUCUUUCUUCCUACGAGCCCAUUGGCACCUCCCUGGGAACUGGGAGCUGAGUAGGGAGGUAAAUCCCAGAAGCCAACAGAACACAGGUUUCAUGGAGAGCCUGGAUGCAAACCAGCAGUAGAGGACUGCUGCUCGGCACUGCGGAGGUGCUCAUGCCUUGCACCUGGUGGUUUGCCAAUGGACAAUUUCUCCAUGACCUAGUUUUCUACCUGGUCUGAAAUGAGAAAAAAUAAGUACAGC